UAGCUUGGGCUGCCAUAUCAAAACACCAUCACUGGGUGGCUUAAACAGCAGACAUUUAUUUCUCACAAGUCUGGAGGCUGGGAAGUUCAAGAUCAAGGUGCCAGCAAAUUCAUUUCCUACAGAGGACCCACUUCUUAGCCUCUCUGUGUAUUCACAUGGUCCUUCCUCAAUGAAUUUUGGGGCUUUGGACUGUUUUCAGAAGGCUGUUGAAGCUUGACCUCCGAACAUGAUAAAAGCAUCUAUGUCAUUUGGUCAGAGCCGGGUUUCUCAAACAACUUCCUGUCUCUCUGCUCUGAAAGACUACUUCACAAAAGAAGCUGACAGUUCUCUGUGGGUACGGGCAUCCGCACUGGGGAGGGCCUAACAUAAAGGGGCCAUUCAAUGUGUAUUCCAUUACCAUGGCUAACCAUAUCUCAGGACGCCGUCCUGAAAUCCAGUACCAGUGCAUGCUUCAUGGAUCAUGCUCAUCAACCAUGGCCAUCAUAAAUAUUCAUCUAAGGUCUCUCUUCCUUAGGGGGUUAUUAACAUGUCAAAGAUAUUUGUGAAGAAAAUGAAAGUGAUAAAUUCUAUCUGUAUUUACUCUUAUUUGAAAGCCUAAUUUAUUUUUAGAGUACUCCGAUAAAAUCCCUUAAUAAGAGGAAAAUUAUUUUAGCCAUAGUCUUCUGUUUUCAAGCUAAUCAUCUCACACGAACGAGUUUAUUAAUGUUUUGCUUGUGGAAUGAACUAGCCAAAAGAAGGACCAUAUGACUAGUUUAAUUCGGGGAAGGAUAAUAUAAAUCACUACUCUUAAAAGGUUGAGUCGACACUUUCUCUACUAAUAGUGCUUGGAAUUGUUUUUCUAAUGAAAAGAGGUGGCAGAGAUUCAUUCCCGCUCCUACCUGCUCUCCCUGGGGAUCGAUAACCCAUCCCAAAAUUGUUGCAUGGAGUUGGUACCUAGUCUGUGAAUAGAAUAGAGCAAAGGUUGGUAAACUUUUUCUUUAACAAUAAAUAUUUUAGGCUCUGCUAUUUAACUCUGGUGUUGUAGCACUGAGGCAGCCAUAGGUAAUAUAUAAAUGAAUGGAUGUGUCUAUGUUCCAAAAAAACCCUUUAUUUGAAAAAACAGGCAGUAAGCUAGAUUUGGCUCACAGGCCAUAGUUUGCCCACUCCUGGAAUAGAACACACGCAGUAGGGCAUCAAGUCUGCUCUCAGGUUACACUGGAUGGGUAUAAGCCAGGCCUGGGAAUUUUAACUAAACCUAAAGGAGCCAAUGGGUAUUGGUAUUCUAUAAGAUCAAACAGGUCCACCAUGGUAGGAAAAGUCAUGAGAAUGUGUUAAAAAUAAGAGUGAUAAUAGCAAUGGCUAAUAUUUACAGAGGAUUUGCUAUGUACCUUGUAUUAAAUACUUUACAUGUAAUCUUUAUAAUCCAUGAGUUCAUAAUCAUAUUAAAGCAAAAUUUACUGGUGACUUUUAGAGGAUGCUAUGGAAGGAAGCAAGUCAUUACUUGGAAACUGGAAAAUAAAGGUCAUCAAGCAUUUAAUGGGUGUUUUCAUAAAGGAAAGCUGGACACAUGUUUGCGAUGGUACUGAGAUGCCUGUUGGAGGGCCCAGUGGAGGGCCCCAUGGGACUGAGCGCCUGGUACCCUUUGCCAUCAUCGGUUCAGUCACAUCCUCAUAUUGGUUUUCCUUCCUCUCAUCUUUCACUCCCCAUAUCCUGCUGUCUUGUUCUCUGGGGUUCUCAAAUAAAUCACUGUGUACAGACUUC